rnacentral:rRNA from 1 species
UGCGUAGGCGGCCCUGCAAGUUGGAUGUGAAAUCCCCGUGCUUAACAUGGGAAUUGCAUUCAAAACUGUGGGGCUUGAGUGUGGAAGAGGUAAGUGGAAUUCCCAGUGUAGCGGUGAAAUGCGUAGAUAUUGGGAGGAACACCAGUGGCGAAGGCGACUUACUGGGCCACAACUGACGCUGAUGCACGAAAGCGUGGGGAGCAAACA